rnacentral:sRNA from 1 species
GGCUGCGAGGAGCCAGGGUUGCUAGGAGACUGUGGAAUAAAAAGGGAAGCAGACACUUCCUGGAUACCCCCAUCUAGUUUUAAAAGACUCGAGUUAAAGUACAAGUGGAGGUGGUUAGGGAAGGGAAGGAGGGGGAGGGGAAGGGAGAUACACGUGAGAAUCUGAAGUCAUCAUCGCCAGGCCUAGUCUUGUCUUCAAAAAACGUGAGUUCUCUGACUAACUGGCAAUCCGAGGCAGGGGGUCAGGGGCUUUACCUGCUCUAAACUUCCGCCACUUAUGAGGACCAUCUCUGAAACGUCAGUGAACAGGAAGUUCUUCAGAAUGGUGGUCAAGUACCGGCUUCGGUUAAGCAGCUCCAGAGUCAUGACCUUUAUAGCAGUGGAUUACCUCUGAAACCUCAGCUGGACCACAUAUGAAGCCUAUGAAUUCUUCAGAAGAAGAUACUCAGUGAACUGUGAGGACUGACAGCAAGUCUUGUCAUUUGGAACACCCUCUUCUCAGAAAAAUUAGGCAUGCUUCAAAAUAGGAAGGGGAAAUGCCAGAAAAUUGCCAGGUAUGUAUCUUUAUAGUUCUUAUGACCAUGGGGACUAGUACUGUUGGUGUUCAACAUGGAGUCGUGGAGGACACAGUUAACUUGGCCAUCCUGUUCUGAAGUUUGAGUUGGAACUCUGAUUGCUCUUCUCUCUUUUCCUCUACUCUGGGAGUUUUGUCAUCUUAUCCAGAGAGUCAUGGGUCAUUUUGAUGACAGACUGACCUCAAGUCUCUGCUCAUGUCUCUGUUUUAUGGCUUAGGAUUCCGUCGUACAGAGGUAAUUGAGAAUGAAUUCCUGGAGAGCCCUAUUGCACACUGAGAAGACAUGGA